rnacentral:rRNA from 1 species
UACGUAGGGCGCGAGCGUUGUCCGGAAUCAUUGGGCGUAAAGAGUUCGUAGGCGGCAUGGUAAGUAGGGUGUGAAAUCCCUCGGCUCAACCGAGGAAUUGCGCUCUAAACUACCGUGCUAGAGGAAGCUAGAGGUGAGCGGAACUGAUGGUGGAGCGGUGAAAUGCGUUGAUAUCAUCAGGAACACCGGAGGCGAAGGCGGCUCACUGGGGCCUUUCUGACGCUGAGGAACGAAAGCCAGGGUAGCGAACGGG